GAGGUCUGUCUGCUGCGUGGAAGAGCAGGGCGUGGCCUCCGGAGGAGGAGGAGGAGCAGGAGAGGAGCGGCAGUGGCGCCUGGCUAGUCCUUGGAUGGCAUCCCUGCUGCUCAGCUCGGGGGAUGCGAUGGAGGAGGAGGAUCCCCGGCGCCUCCGGUGACCGCAGCUCCAGAGGAAGAGGAGGAAGAGGAGGAGAACAAUGAUUCCUGUCACUGAAUUCCGCCAGUUCUCCGAGCAACAACCAGCCUUCCGGGUCCUGAAGCCAUGGUGGGAUGUAUUUACGGACUAUCUGUCUGUUGCCAUGCUAAUGAUAGGCGUGUUUGGUUGCACAUUACAGGUUAUGCAAGACAAGAUCAUAUGUCUUCCAAAAAGAGUACAGCCUUCUCAGAACAGUUCCCACCUUCCUAAUGUCUCAAGCUUGGACACCAGUGCAGUCCCAUUACUUCCACCCAAACCAUCCACACCUCCUGCUACUGUUGAAAUGAAGGGUCUAAAGACGGACUUAGAUCUCCAACAGUAUAGUUUUAUAAAUCAAAUGUGCUAUGAGCGUGCUCUGCACUGGUAUGCAAAGUACUUCCCCUAUCUGGUCCUUAUACACACACUGAUCUUCAUGCUGUGUAGCAACUUCUGGUUCAAGUUUCCUGGGUCAAGCUCCAAAAUUGAACAUUUUAUCUCCAUUUUGGGGAAGUGCUUUGACUCUCCUUGGACCACAAGGGCUUUAUCUGAAGUUUCGGGUGAAGACUCUGAAGAGAAGGACAAUAGAAAGAACAAUAUUAGCAAGUCAAACACUAUCCAGCCCAGUGCAGAAGGAACUCUGGUAAAGACUCAGUCUUUGAGAUCCAUACCUGAGAAGUUUGUUGUGGAUAAGGGGACACCAGGAGCACUGGAUAAAAAAGAAGGAGAACAGGCCAAGGCAUUGUUUGAGAAGGUGAAGAAGUUCCGACUUCAUGUAGAAGAAGGUGAUCUUCUCUAUGCUAUGUACGUUCGCCAAACUGUGCUGAAGGUGAUUAAAUUUCUUAUCAUUAUUGCAUAUAAUAGUGCUCUUGUUUCAAAAGUUCAGUUUACAGUAGACUGCAAUGUUGAUAUUCAAGACAUGACAGGAUACAAGCACUUCUCUUGCAAUCACACGAUGGCACAUUUGUUCUCUAAACUUUCCUUCUGUUACUUGUGCUUUGUAAGUAUCUAUGGAUUCACAUGCCUUUACACUUUGUAUUGGUUGUUUUACCGCUCACUAAAGGAAUACUCUUUUGAGUAUGUCCGACAGGAGACAGGAAUUGACGACAUCCCAGAUGUCAGAAAUGACUUUGCUUUCAUGCUUCAUAUGAUAGACCAAUAUGACCCUCUUUAUUCCAAAAGGUUUGCUGUGUUUCUUUCAGAGGUCAGUGAAAACAAACUAAAGCAACUUAAUCUAAACAAUGAGUGGACUGCAGAUAAAUUGAGGCAAAGGCUGCAGAUGAAUUCCCAUAACCGUUUGGAGCUGCAACUGUUUAUGCUAUCUGGACUUCCUGACACAGUUUUUGAAAUUACAGAGCUUCAGUCACUGAAACUUGAAAUCAUUAAUAAUGUCAUGAUACCAGCCACCAUUGUGCAACUGGAUAACCUCCAGGAGCUGUCAUUGUACCAAUGUUCUGCAAAGAUCCACAGUGCAGCCUUGGCAUUUCUGAAAGAAAAUCUGAAAGUCUUGAAUGUCAAAUUUGAUGAUUUUAGAGAACUGCCACCUUGGAUGUAUGGACUCCGAAAUCUGGAAGAGCUCAGCUUAAUCGGUUCUUUGUGCCAUGACAUUUCUAAAAAUAUAACUUUGGAGUCUUUUCGAGAACUUAAGAACCUUAAAGUCCUGUACAUUAAAAGUAAUUUGUCCAAAGUCCCACAAUCUGUGGUUGAUGUUUCAAGUCACCUUCAAAAAAUGUGCAUUCACAAUGACGGCACAAAACUGGUGAUGCUCAACAACCUGAAGAAAAUGGUCAAUUUGACAGAAUUAGAGUUGGUGCACUGUGACUUGGAGCGUAUUCCUCAUGCUGUUUUCAGUCUUGUCAGCCUCCAGGAAUUAGACUUGAAGGAAAACAAUCUCAAAUCCAUAGAGGAAAUUGUUAGCUUCCAACAUCUUAGGAAACUUACAAUCCUAAAGCUGUGGCACAACAGUAUAACCUACAUUCCAGAGCACAUAAAGAAGCUCACUAGUCUAGAACGGCUUUCUUUUAGUCACAACAAGAUAGAGGUUCUCCCAUCCCACCUUUUUCUGUGCAACAAAAUUAGAUACUUAGACUUAUCAUACAAUGACAUCCGAUUCAUCCCCCCUGAAAUUGGGGUGCUCCAAAGCUUACAGUACUUUUCAAUCACUUGUAACAAAGUGGAAAGUGUACCAGAUGAGCUAUACUUCUGCAAAAAACUGAAGACACUAAAGAUCGGGAAAAACAGCUUGUCUGUUCUCUCUCCUAAAAUUGGAAAUCUGGUGUUAUUAUCCUAUUUGGACAUUAAAGGAAACCAUCUGGAAGUUCUCCCCCAUGAACUGGGUGAAUGCAGAGCUCUGAAAAAGAGUGGUCUGGUGGUGGAAGAUGCCUUGUUUGAAACCCUGCCCUUGGAUGUCAGGGAACAGAUGAAGGCAGAAUAAUGUCUAUUUCCCAGUUCUUUGACAGAAACUUGUCUCUGCCAAAUGCCUUGUACAUAACAGCUAGCCUGAAUAUGCCUUUAAAGUCUAUUUUUUAAUUUCUUGAUUCCCUUUUGACAUAAAGUUUUCUGUAAAGACACUUUUGAACUAAGUAUAUAUGCAUAUUUUUGUAUCCAUUUUCCCUUGUUCUCCCUCCAGCCUGGUGUUUAGUUUUUAAUUUUGCCGUGAUACUGUGGGCCUUCCGUAGCCCUUACUUUGUAUUGGUGAAAUCAAAUGGGUUAUAGCCACCUUAAAAAAAAUAAUGGGUUGGCUCAAAAUAAGGUCAGCAUAUUUCAAAUUAUAUAAUGGAGGUAACCAAUGUUAAGUAGAUGAAUGCAUGGUUACUAUAGCAACACUAAUCCAUGCUUUGUAAGCCAUCACUCAGUCCUUUGAAAUGGCCAGGUCCCCUGUCCAGUUUUUAUUCCAGUUAUGGGUAAUUGUAGCUUCUGCAGGUCAGAUUGCCCUGUUCUUGAAGCCUAAUUUUGGCAAUCCAGUAGUCCUUCAUGGAUAAGAGCUGCUUCCUUGCUUCUGGCACUGGAUUGAGAAGAGCUUUCUGUGUGCAUAGAACAUUUCCUGCCACUGCUGGUAAGAGAAGCCUUGUUCUCUAGGUUUCUAAAUUAAAACUGUGCUUCUGGAUAUCAUACUCAAAUGUCACUGACUCUAAUUCCAUCUUUGUGAUUCUCAGGCAUGAUCAGAAGCUCUGUUAGAGAUUCUGUUUCAACAAAAUGCUGUACAGCAACAUUCUCAUUUUGCCCUCUGCUUUGUAUGUGUUGGUGCUCCCCAGUGUACAUUUGCAUGUUUGUGCAAGCUGCAGCCAUGGAACGAUAAGCCUAUAGAAAUUGUGUAAGCCAUAUCAAACCCUGCGGCAAUCAGCAAAAGAAGUCUGCCAACUGCAGACCUCCAGUCACUUAGAAUCAUAGAAUCGUAGAGUUGGAAGAGACCACAAGGGCCACCCAGUCCAACCCUCUGCCUUGCAGGAAAUCUCAAUCAAAGCAUCCCCGACAGAUGGCCAUCCAGCCUCUGCUUAAAGACCUCCAAAAACAGAGACUCCACCACACUCCAAGGAAGGAGUGUGUUCCACUGUCGAACAGCCCUUACUGCUCUGGAGAAUUCUCAUUAUUCUCUCUGGAGCUUCUUCAGAACAAGCAGGUUAAAGAAUACUAGUUUCCUUUAAAAUACUUCUUGUUCUUGUAUAUGUAUCAAAAGCCUUUACUACUAUGGCUCGUAUCAUAUUGCAUGUAUUUUGUGGCACAUUCACUUUCUAAAAUGAAAUGAUAGAUACUCAUUAAGCUGUUGUUUUUAAUAUUUUAUAAUUGUUUAAAAUCAGAGAUUUUAAAAUAUUGUUGAGUAAUGUCAUGAAACAAGCUCAGGUAAAUGGUCUGUCGGACUUCUUUUUUAUUUAUAUUUACUCUUAGUGUAUGUGUAUACUUUAUAUUAUUUGGAUAUAUUUGAAAAGCUCUUGCAAGGUCAUGAAGUAACAUCAGUGAAGAAGUGCCAUAUGUAUUUGAUCAUUUUGCUUAAUAUAUUUCAAAAUCUGUAUCUUGUGUAUAUGUUGAUUAUACAUAUAGAAUCAAUGCUGUCUAAAUAAAAUUUCCUUCAUUGUAGCA